GCGAGUGAAGCGGCAAAAGCUCAAAUUUGAAAUCUAGCACCUUCGGUGUUCGAGUUGUAAUUUGAAGAUGGCAACCUUGGGUUUGGCUCUUGUCUAUGUUCCUUGGAACAGGACGUCAUAGAGGGUGAGAAUCCCGUCUGAUGAGAUGCCCAUUCCUUUGUAAGGUGCUAUCGAAGAGUCGAGUUGUUUGGGAAUGCAGCUCUAAGUGGGUGGUAAAUUCCAUCUAAAGCUAAAUAUUGGCGAGAGACCGAUAGCGAACAAGUACAGUGAUGGAAAGAUGAAAAGAACUUUGAAAAGAGAGUGAAAAAGUACGUGAAAUUGUUGAAAGGGAAGGGCAUUAGAUCAGACUUGGUGUUUUAUGAUUAUCUUCUCUUCUUGAGUUGUGCACUCGUAUUUCACUGGGCCAGCAUCGAUUCGGAUGGCAAGAUAAUGACAGUUGAACGUGGCUUCAUUCGUGGAGUGUUAUAGCUUCUGUUGAUAUUGCCUGUCUGGAUCGAGGGCUGCGUCUUUGACUAGGAUGCUGGCGUAAUGAUCUAAUGCCGCCC
rnacentral:rRNA from 1 species